rnacentral:lncRNA from 1 species
AGCAAAUGAAGAUUGAAGCCCGACGAUGACAGAGUCGAUCUCUCCUACUAGGGCGAUAGAUCUGACGGCAAAAGCCCGAUCGUCCCUAGAAGAAGCUCAACAAAGUCAUUUCUGCAAACGAAGAUCGAAGCCCGACGAUGACAGUGUCGAUCUCUCCUACUAGGGCGAUAGAUCUGACGGCAAAAGCCCGAUCGUCCCUAGAAGAAGCUCAACAAAGUCAUUUCUGCAAACGAAGAUUGAAGCCCG